rnacentral:lncRNA from 1 species
UGGAUUUGAAAGCCACCCCGCAAGCUGAUAAAUAAAAUAUAAGCAAAUAAAUAAAAACACCGUGGCCCCUUUAAAUGGGAAGACUGCAGAGACUGAAGGUGGGAGAAUAAAUUGGGAAAGAAAUUCCCUUUUCCACUUUGAAAGAAGAGUCUGAAACUUGUCCUUUCUACCUCUGGUGAUUUAAUCACAUAUGAUAACUGUAUAAAUCAAAUCUCCCUCAUUCCCUCUCAAGUAUGAAUUAGCUCUUAAUUAGGCCAUUGGACAAAAUUUCAAGUUAAAAUGAAAUGCAUCUUAUGAAUAGGUUGGAAUAUCAUCCUAUGUGAAGGUAAAGGUUAACUCAUCUGUCUCCUGCAAGUACAGCAGGGACCCAAUUUUAGUCUUGUUCUCAGUGGUUUGACCCCAGUAACUCCCAUUACUUUCUCCCGCUUUUCAUGAAUGCAGGUCAGCAGAGUCUUAUGCCAUCAGUGUUCCAGAUCUCAGCGAAGCAGACGAUGACACCACAUUGUCAUUUUCAUUCACAGGAGUAGAUUUUGGUCACAGAUGAUGGGGCAGAAGAAAACUUUUUACAAGCAGACUGAAAAGAGUGAAGCUGCAAGAAGAUGAGGUAGCACAUGAGGCUGAAAUCUGUUGUGUGAGGGCUCUCUCUGUUGCCGUCUGUUCACCAUCACCCAGCAGAUUAAGAGAUGAUUCCAAGUAUCCCAAAUCCAAGCCCACAAGCAUUUGGCAGAUGGUUCUGUGAUGAGUAACAAGCAUUUUGGAAAGGAAAUCCAUCUCCAUUUCUGAUCAGCAUUUUGGAGGUCAUGUCUUGUGAAGCAGAUAAUAAACUUCAUAUAAUAUGUUUUUGACA